CCGAUUUUCGUGGUCUUUAAUUUGUGAUAAUUGUAUCCUUCCUAAAAACGCCAAAGAGGGACGAGAGGAGAGCACAUUUAGCAAAAAUGAGAAUGUUGAGUUGGGUGUGGUGGUGUGACAAGAAUGGAUAAAGUGAGUAAUCAAGAGGUAGUGGGAAAGUAGCUCCAGCUACCGAAAAGAAGAGAGGCAAACCGUUGUUGAGGGAGAUUGGUAGAAAGGCCGAAGAAAAUGGCGGAUGGUUUGAGAGAUGAUAUGAAUAAGAAGUGGACUAUUCUAGUAGGACUAGUGGUAGAAAUGUAUUGAAGUUGAAAAGAUAUAGCAUCGACUCCAAAUAAAAUUGAGAACAGGACAGGAAGAAGUAAAAGUGAAAUAAAUAUUAAAAGCAACGAAAUGGGAACGGGCAAUAUCCUGAGUCUAAAACGACGCUCAAGGCAUCGCGAAGAAAGUAAAUAUUUGCCAUUAGAAAUUAAAAGAAAAAUGCUACUUCAGAAGAAUAGACUUCGAAUCUAGUAUCUAUUACUACGCGCAAUUGUAUUACGGUCUAGCCCCCUAUUAAUACCAGUGAAUACCUUACUGCCAGUAACUUUAAAAUUAAUUGGCGUAGGUAUAUAAAGAAGGUGGGACACCUGGGUGCUGUAACAAUGCCUCCAAAAUGCAAAGGGAAGGGAAGCCAAUAGCAAAGACAAAGGACCCUAGGAAUUUUGUGAACAUGACAGGAGAGAGAUGAAAGAACCCUUUAUAUUUUUGGCUGCACUAAGAUGGUGUCUGUCCAAUAUGUUGACUUAUUUAAAACUCACUAUGUGUAAGCUUAUAUUAAUCCUAUUUAUGCAUCUGCGCACAAUUUCGAUUUCAUUGUAACUUCGACCUGUUCUCGUAAUUAUUUGGCGUGCAUAUUAACCCUUAAUUUGAAAACUUUAAAAAAAUCUGUAACAUAAAAUAAUUGUAUUUUUUUGAUACGAUCGAUUUAAUUAUAAAGUUUGACUAAUUACAUCACAAGGAAAAGUAAGUCUAUUGCAUUUUCAACAACUGGACAUCCCUAUUUACGUCAACCUGAAAAAAUGACGGACCCGAAGAGCAACAAAGCUGUAUUACAACGAGCAAGAUCGAAGUACAUUCUAGCGUUGAUUCCUGCAGGAAAUGCACGAUCGGACGACAGUGUCACAACAGACAAUGAGGAAGAUAACACAUCUUUGCCAGUUUAUGGAAUACAACAUGAUUCUUACAGCAGUUCCUCAACACCUUCACUGGAUUUGGAUAAAAUGUAAUGUGAGAUUAUGUCUAACUAAACAACGGAACUGUUUUUACGAUUUUCAUGUAAAAAAAUAAAAUUUCUUACCAAUUAACUAUUUUAUUUUAUAACCCCGAUUUGGUAAUGUAUCCUUUUGGAUACACUAUCGAAAAACUAUA
rnacentral:lncRNA from 1 species